UACGUAGGGUGCGAGCGUUGUCCGGAAUUAUUGGGCGUAAAGGGCUCGUAGGCGGCUCGUUGCGUCGGCUGUGAAAACCCGCAGCUCAACUGUGGGCUUGCAGCUGAUACGGGCGGGCUGGAGUUCGGUAGGGGAGACUGGAAUUUCUGGUGUAGCGGUGAAAUGCGCAGAUAUCAGGAGGAACACCGGUGGCGAAGGCGGCGUCUGGGACGAUGACUGAC
rnacentral:rRNA from 1 species